rnacentral:misc_RNA from 1 species
CUCCUUCAAACCUUUGGGUUUGGUGUUGAGUGAUACUCUUAGUCAACUAAGUGUUUGCUUUAAAUAUAAUGGCAGGAGUGUACUGGAUAGUACGAACUGGUUAUUCAAUGUAUUAGGUUUAUCCAACUCGUUGAAGACUGGGGUAGUAAAUUUCUAGUAAUUGGCUCGGCCUUAUAAUAACAAACUAA